UUUUGAGAGGUUUGACUUUAUUUACUAGACAUAAACAUAAGUAUAAACUGAUUCUAUAAUAAUCCAAUAAUAAAUCUGAUAAACAUCAAUUGAUAUACUCAAUAUUAAAAGCUGGAACCUAAGGUUACCACAACAACAAAGGCUCUUUCUUCGCCAGACUCUUUAGUAGUCUUUAUUAGUUUAAUUCAUCUUGAAAGGUAUUUGACACAAGUUUGUAUAUUUAUAGUCUGUUCUUGUUUAUCUGUAUAUUCAGUGAAAAGUCUCCAACUUUAAAGGACUUUAGAUUCAAAAGUUGUUAUUUUCUUGGAUUGUGAAAGAAAUCAUUGAAAAUGUCUCAACGUUAUAAAGUUUUGGACCUGUAUAAAAGGCUUCUCUAUAUGGGUUUGGAGUGGCCGAAAGGUUUUAAUUACUUCCGUGACCGAUGUAAACGGGCUUUUCUGGCAAACAAAGAUUUGAAGGAUGAAACUGCAAUAGCCAAGUGCAUUUCAAGAGGUGAAUAUGUGAUCAAAGAAAUCGAAGCACUAUACAGGCUCAAGAAAUAUCGAGCUAUGAAGAGAAGAUAUUACAAAGAUUGAUUGUUGUAUUUGAUGUAAAGAUUAAAUAUUGCUGCUUUGAUUUACACAUUUUAAAGGAAAAAUAAGACAUAUUUUGUUUAAGCACUCACAAAGUGCUGAGAUUA